ACUUGAGUGCAGAAGAGGAGAGUGGAAUUCCAUGUGUAGCGGUGAAAUGCGUAGAUAUAUGGAGGAACACCAGUGGCGAAGGCGACUCUCUGGUCUGUAACUGACGCUGAGGCGCGAAAGCGUGGGGAGCAAACAGGAUUAGAUACCCUGGUAGUCCACGCCGUAAACGAUGAGUGCUAGGUGUUAGGGGUUUCGAUGCCCUUAGUGCCGAAGUUAACACAUUAAGCACUCCGCCUGGGGAGUACGACCGCAAGGUUGAAACUCAAAGGAAUUGACGGGGGCCCGCACAAGCAGUGGAGCAUGUGGUUUAAUUCGAAGCAACGCGAAGAACCUUACCAGGUCUUGACAUCCUUUGACAACCCUAGAGAUAGGGCUUUCCCCUUCGGGGGACAAAGUGACAGGUGGUGCAUGGUUGUCGUCAGCUCGUGUCGUGAGAUGUUGGGUUAAGUCCCGCAACGAGCGCAACCCUUGAUCUUAGUUGCCAGCAUUCAGUUGGGCACUCUAAGGUGACUGCCGGUGACAAACCGGAGGAAGGUGGGGAUGACGUCAAAUCAUCAUGCCCCUUAUGACCUGGGCUACACACGUGCUACAAUGGAUGGUACAAAGGGCAGCAAAACCGCGAGGUUGAGCCAAUCCCAUAAAGCCAUUCUCAGUUCGGAUUGUAGGCUGCAACUCGCCUACAUGAAGCCGGAAUUGCUAGUAAUCGCGGAUCAGCAUGCCGCGGUGAAUACGUUCCCGGGCCUUGUACACACCGCCCGUCACACCACGAGAGUUUGUAACACCCGAAGUCGGUGGGGUAACCUUUUGGAGCCAGCCGCCUAAGGUGGGACAGAUGAUUGGGGUGAAGUCGUAACAAGGUAGCCGUAUCGGAAGGUGCGGCUGGAUCACCUCCUUUCUAUGGA
rnacentral:rRNA from 1 species